CACAUCCAUGCUAUCUCCUAAAGCAGUCAUUCUGAAACCCAAUCUGGGGACAGUGCAGACUAAAUAAAAUUUCAUUUUGAUUUGGCCUCCCGCUGAGAAUGGGACUGCUUUGUUUCAGCCGACAGAACCAGCAAGCCAGAAAGGUGUUGAAUACACAAAUACUGACUUAACAGAAAAUUAUCCUCAACCAUUCUCUGAUCAUGGGACAACAAGAAAAUCUUCUACCACUUGGACAUUAUGGAGAGUGGAAGAACAGGAAAUGUAUUUCGAAUGGCAUUAAAUGGCUGUUAUGUUUUCACAUGAAGGGAAAGACCUCCUAUACUGACAGAGAGAAAGUUUAGAUAGCUUUUAUUCCUUAGCAAAGUUUUUCCUAAAUGAUAACUAAACUUUCUAGAAAAUUAAGGAUUUGAGGGGGCAGAUGAGAAGGUGAUAAUGUGCACAUCCACUGGCAGUUAGCUUGUUAUAAGGUAUGAAAAAAUCU